GCACUUGCGCACGGGUUUGGGCGGGCCUAUAUUCCCCUUGUUCGGGUUCGCCCGGACUAUGGACAUAAACGCGCAGGUAAUAAGCGGAUCGGACCCGGGGGCGGUACCCGGCGGCUCCACCAAAAUCCCUCGUUGGGGGUUCAUGGGGCCGAAACAGGAUCGACGAACGUCUAAAGCUGUUUGCUUUGUCUCGGUGAGCUACCACCGUUAUCGGUGCAAAAUGUACAGUUGCCAACGACAACCGUGCUCCGGUCGCUCUGGCUGCGUAAGCAGCUCGGGUAACCGAAAAUCAAGCCCUUGCGCCUAGCAGCGUAAGGCGGGGCCCGCAGGAGCCUGGCAACAGAAUCCUGCAUU
rnacentral:tmRNA from 2 species